AAAAAAACAAACUGAUGUUUCUUUAUGACAAGACUCAGAUUAAGUUGACCCUUUUUUGUGUUAACGUUUAUAAUAGCACAGUAGUGUUGUAUCCUUUGUUAAUCAGCACAUGAUACAAAUAUCUCUUAAUAGAGUUGAUCUUAUUUACUUGAUAAAUAUGCUCUCUGACAUUUUUUCACUCUAGAGUUGUUUUUAUUAUUAAUAGGCACCUUGAGUUUGAUCAAGCAUUAUGCAAAAACAAGAUUAAGCCACAUUUAAUCUGAUAGCUCUUCUUUCUUCUUAUUUUCUCUUUGCAUAUAGCUUGCUCUGGAAAAUGAAGCCUCUCAUCUUUCUUUACUGGUCAAAUAAGCUAAAAACCUAUGCUCUGCCACUUCUGAAUUUUUGACAAAAUAUUCUUCUUGGGCCAGAAGCAAUGAUACCACUGGCAAACUUCUUAGAAAUUUGGAGACUCAGGCUUUACUCUAGAUCUUCAGAAUCAAAAACUAUGUCUUAACAAGAUGUCCUGUUUGUUGCUGUACACAAUAAGGGAGUGUUAACAUUCAGGGAUGUGGCCAUAGAAUUCUCCCCAGAAGAGUGGGAAUGCCUGGACUCUGCUCAGCAGCAUUUGUAUAGGGAUGUGAUGUUAGAGAACUACAGAAACCUGGUCUCCUUGGGUCUUGCUAUCUUUAAGCCAGACUUGAUUACCUGUCUGGAGCAAAGAAAAGAGCCCUGGAAUUUGAAGAAACAGGAGACAGUAGCCAAAUACCCAGCUGGCUCUUUUCUUUUUACUGCAGAGAUAUUGCCGGAGCACGACAUAAAAGAUUCAUUUCAAAAAGUGAUUCUGAGAAAAUAUAGAAGCUGUGACCUUAAUAAUUUACAUUUAAAGGAAGACUACCAAAGUGUGGGUAAUUGCAAGGGACAGAAAAGCAGUUAUAAUGGCCUUCAUCAAUGUUUGCCAACUACCCAUAGGAAAACCUGUCAAUAUAAUAAAUGUGGCAAAGCUUUUGAGUUGUGCUCAAUCUUCACUGAACAUAAGAAAAUUUUUAGCAGAGAGAAAUACUACAAAUGUGAAGAAUGUGGCAAGGACUGUAGGUUCUCAGAUUUUACUAGAAAUAAGAUAAUUCAUACUGCAGAGAGAUGCUACAAAUGUGAACAAUGUGGCAAAGCCUUUAAAAAGUUUUCAAACCUUACUGAACAUAAGAGAGUUCAUACUGGGGAGAAACCCUACAAAUGCGAGGAAUGUGGCAAAACCUUUACCUGCUCCUCAACCCUUAUUAAACACAAGAGAAAUCAUACUGGAGACAGACCCUACAAAUGUGAAGAGUGUGGCAAAGGCUUUAAGUGCUUCUCAGACCUUACUAAUCAUAAGAGAAUUCACACUGGAGAGAAACCCUACAAAUGUGAAGAAUGUAACAAAUCCUAUAGGUGGUUCUCAGACCUUGCUAAACAUAAAAUUAUUCAUACUGGAGAGAAACCCUACAAAUGUAAUGAAUGUGGAAAAUCUUUUAAGUGGUUCUCGGCCCUGAGUAAACAUAAGAGAGUUCAUACUGGAGAGAAACCCUACAUCUGUGAAGAAUGUGGCAAAGCCUUUACCCGCUCCUCAACGCUCAUUAACCACAAGAGAAUUCAUAUGGAAGAGAGACCUUACAAAUGUGAAGAAUGUGGCAAAACUUUUAAGUGCUUCUCAGACCUUACUAAUCAUAAGAGAAUUCACACUGGAGAGAAACCCUACAAAUGUGAAGAAUGUGGCAAGGCAUCAAGCUGGUUCUCACACCUCAUUAGACAUAAGAGAAUUCAUACUAGAGAGAAGCUCCACAAGUGUUAAAAACGUGGAAAAGCCUUUGACAAGUCAUUAUAUUGUGUUCAACAUCAGAGAUUUAAUAAUGAAUGCAGUAUAAAUGUAAAGUCUGUUGAAGAACAUUUAACAUCUUGGAGGAUCUCUGUAAGAACUUGCUUCAUAAUAAUUUGUGUGAAAGAAUAUGGUCUGGUUGCCGCAUCAGAGUUAAUGAGAGGUUCUUCUAGAUUAAAUGAACAAAGUUGUAUACCUUUCCAUGGAAGAGUAAGAAAACUGAAAUCUAAGAUACAUGAAGAAAUUAUAAGUGGAAAGGCCACUUAGUGGUUGGUUUACAACAGUAUCGUAAGUGACAGCAUAGGUGUGUGGUGAAAAAUUGAAAAUACAUAUGGUAAAGAAAUGAAAUUAAUUCUGCAUAUGAAGAGAGCAUAAUUGUACCCGUGCUGCAUAGUUAACUCUCACAAUUGAAACCAGAUGAAGAGAUGAACAUUCUAGCAAGAAGAGAAAAACUUAAUUGUUGUUGGAUGAGACUUGAUCCCUUGGCUAGUGAAGGUGAAGGCACCAUGAAUGUCUGACAUUUUCCAGCCCAGAGGAGAUGGGGAUGAGGAGCCACCAUUCUCCUGUCCAUCCCAUAUGUCCCUGAGGCUGUUGGGGUGGGUUGGUACACAGUUUCCUCUACCCUUGGGAGAGGUCCAAGGAUGAAAAGGCUUACAAACAAAAUAAUUUUUUGGUUUACUUUUUACCCUUCCUCAAGCUCCACAUCUAGACACUGAAAUGUUAUAGAACUUUCUCCAUUCAGCUAAAAGCAGGAUCUUGUCACAUGACCAGGAAUGAACAGGCUAAUAGACAUACUGAAUAGUGAUGAGUAAAGUUUAUUGGGCAAAAAGAAAAAAAAAAGCAAAGUGAGAGUGACUCUUUUAACAGGCCCCUACCUCACAGAUUAACGAACACCAGGUCACCA